UCCGGAUUGGUGUAGGGGUUAACAUUGCCGCCUCUCAGCGAUUAUGUAAGCAUCUGCGUACGUAAUUGGGUUCGCGGCAGCCCGGGGUUCGAUUCCCCGAUCCGGAA